rnacentral:sRNA from 1 species
AGGGUUUUCCCUAGGGCAUCCACUAUUAUCUCGUUUUUCAUUCACUUUAACAUUUCGCAACUUUCAUAGCCGCAGUGUUUCUCCUGCGACUUUGUAUUUUCACUUUCAAGUAUUUGAUAUUCAGUUUUCGUUUAAGUCUUUCGUCAUUUCUGUUAUUAUGUUUUCAAUCGUUGCUUUGUUAUUGUCUUUGAUUAUGUCUGAGUAGUGAACCGUAUUUCUGAGGAUGGGAUAGAUUAGUUGUGGUUUACUUGGUCAUUUUAGGUGGUUGAGUUUAGAAUACUAGAAUCCCUUCUGGAUUUGUUGCGCUUACUGCUUGUUUCACAGGCUAAUGUGGAAUAUGUGUCCAGGUGUCCAGCGCUCAGAAGGUGUUUAAUGGGCGUUGGAUCCUAUUAAUUCCAGAGAUAUCUGACUCUACCCCAAGGGAUUGGCUGUAGAGAGGGUAUUGGCUUUAACAUGUUGAUUCGAUAAUGCCUGCUUAGUUAGAGAUCGCUAAUGGGAAUUAGAUCAGUGUCUAGCUUUGCUUGAGGAUUUCUAUCACGGGAGUGAAUUAAUCUGUUGUUGAACUUGUUGUCUAGGGAUAGCUUCUGUGAAGUUUUGUCAACCACCUGAAUAGAUUAAGGAGACCACACUAUUCGAUUACCCCAUCCUUAGGAAUCGUUUAUCCAUUUGAUUGCCUGCUAUCAUUUCUGCUUUGUUAUUCAGCUGCCUGCUAUUGACAUUUCUGCUUUUAGUUUCAUUUCCUUUCUGUUAUUGCAUACUAGGACUGUUAAAACCAACCAACUAUCUGCUUGGCUUGAUUUAGAGCUUUUAAUCAUA